CUGAAAAAGCCCUAACUUGGGCAAAACCUCUCUGUAAUUUACAAUUACCCUGAAUUUGUUGUGUGCGUUAAAAGGGUUUUUGAUAUUCCAGCUUGCUCCACCUCUGCUGCCAAACAACGCAUGUCAGGGCACAGGGCACGAGAACAAUUGUCGAAUAUGCCAGUGAAUUCCGUACCCUCCGCAGAGGGUGGCGUGAACGAGACUCUCAAGGCUGCCUUUUCACAUGGGCCCUCUGAUGUUAUUAAGGAUGAGACUGCAGCCAGAGAAUUACCUAAAGAUCUCGAGGAACUGAUAUCCUUUGUCAUCCUCAUUGAUAUCAGACUUCCGAGAGAGAUCCUCAUUCAGGAAACGCUUGCAGAGUCCUCCUGUAUAUUUGGCACCAAGCUUUUUUUCCCCACCCAAGCCUGCCUCACCUCCCAUGACUCCUGGUCCUGAGUCCUCUGGAGGUGUGGAGCCGAGGCGGUUAGGCUUCUCA